UACUUUAAGUUAUUGUGUAAAGAAUAUAAACCCUAAUUUAUUAUUUCGCUUCUGCAUUCAAUUCAUAUUUAUUUCCCUUCAGUUCACGAGUCGUUAUAAUUGGCAUCAGAGUUGCGUUCUUCAGAACCAUCCCUUAUACAAAAUCCUUAAGAAACACAAAAAAUAAUGAAUUAUCACUUAACCGUUUCUUAUAAAAUGCAGGUAC
rnacentral:lncRNA from 1 species